rnacentral:misc_RNA from 1 species
GAUGAAGAACGUAGCGAAGUGCGAUAAGUAAUGUGAAUUGCAGAAUUCCGUGAAUCAUCGAAUCUUUGAACGCAAAUUGCACUCUCUGGCAACCCGGAGAGUAUGCCUGUUUGAGGGUCAGUGUUAAUAAAAAAUCGGGUGCGUUGCAAUUUUUGUGACGUUUCCGGAGUUUGAGUUAUCUUAACUUCGGUUUUAAGAGGCUUAAAAUUGACCUUUUUUUGUGCAUUUUAGACGUACAUAAAUUUUUUUUUUAUUCGUCCAUCCUAAUGCCAAAAUCUAUUAGAUGCGACCAUAUCUUGUGGUUCCGUGUCUAUAAAUUUUUCAUGAUUUGACCUCAAAUCAGGUAGGAACACCCGCUGAACUUAAGCAUAUCAAUAAGCGGAGGA